rnacentral:rRNA from 1 species
UACGGGGGGGGCAAGCGUUGUUCGGAAUUACUGGGCGUAAAGGGCUCGUAGGCGGCCAACUAAGUCAGACGUGAAAUCCCUCGGCUUAACCGGGGAACUGCAUCUGAUACUGGAUGGCUUGAGUUCGGGAGAGGGAUGUGGAAUUCCAGGUGUAGCGGUGAAAUGCGUAGAUAUCUGGAGGAACACCGGUGGCGAAGGCGGCAUCCUGGACCGACACUGGCGCUGAGGAGCGAAAGCCAGGGGAGCAAACGGG